rnacentral:rRNA from 1 species
GGAGUCUGGACCGUGUCUCAGUUCCAAUGUGGCCGAUCACCCUCUCAGGUCGGCUAACUAUCGAAGCCUUGGUGGGCUGUUAUCUCACCAACUAGCUAAUAGUACGCGAGCCCAUCCUAUACCGACCGUAGCCUUUUACCCCUGCACCAUGCGGUGCUGUGGUCUUAUGCGGUAUUAGCAGCCGUUUCCAGCUGUUGUCCCCCUGUAUAGGGCAGGUUGCUCACGUGUUACUCACCCGUUCGCCACUCGGUAUAUUGCUAUACCUCGUUCGACUUGCAUGUAUUAAGCACGCCGCCAGCGUUCGUCCUGAGCCACGGAUCAAACUCU